rnacentral:rRNA from 1 species
UGGGGAAUAUUGCACAAUGGGGGAAACCCUGAUGCAGCCAUGCCGCGUGUGUGAAGAAGGCCUUCGGGUUGUAAAGCACUUUCAGGUGUGAGGAAAGCAUACUUGCUAAUACCAAGUAUGUGUGACGUUAACACCAGAAGAAGCACCGGCUAACUCCGUGCCAGCAGCCGCGGUAAUACGGAGGGUGCGAGCGUUAAUCGGAAUUACUGGGCGUAAAGCGCACGCAGGCGGAAUGUUAAGCUAGAUGUGAAAGCCCAGCGCUCAACGUUGGACGGUCAUUUAGAACUGGCAUUCUAGAGUUUUGGAGAGGGGAGUGGAAUUCCACGUGUAGCGGUGAAAUGCGUAGAUAUGUGGAGGAACAUCAGUGGCGAAGGCGACUCUCUGGCCAAAGACUGACGCUCAUGUGCGAAAGUGUGGGUAGCGAACAGGAUUAGAUACCCCCGUAGUCC